GUGCUCGAGUGGCGAACGGGUGAGUAACACGUGGGCAACCUGCCCCUGACUUUGGGAUAACGCUUCGAAAGAGGUGCUAAUACCGGAUAUGAGCCUCCUUGGCAUCUGGGGGGCUGGAAAGUUUUUCGGUCAGGGAUGGGCCCGCGGCCUAUCAGCUUGUUGGUGAGGUAAUGGCUCACCAAGGCGACGACGGGUAGCCGGCCUGAGAGGGCGACCGGCCACACUGGGACUGAGACACGGCCCAGACUCC
rnacentral:rRNA from 1 species